rnacentral:rRNA from 1 species
AUUGAACGCUGGCGGAAUGCUUUACACAUGCAAGUCGAACGGUAGAGGGGGCAACCCCCUUGAGAGUGGCGAACGGGUGAGUAAUAUAUCGGAACGUGCCCGGUCGUGGGGGAUAACGUAGCGAAAGCUACGCUAAUACCGCAUACGAUCUACGGAUGAAAGCGGGGGGAUCGCAAGACCUCGCGCGAUUGGAGCGGCCGAUAUCAGAUUAGGUAGUUGGUGAGGUAAAGGCUCGACCAAGCCGACGAUCUGUAGCUGGUCUGAGAGGACGACCAGCCACACUGGACUGAGACACGGCCCAGACUCCUACGGGAGGCAGCAGUGGGGAAUUUUGGGACAAUAGGGCGCAAGCCUGAUCCAGCAAUGACCGCGUGCAGGAUGAAGGCCUUCGGUUC